GAUGAAGAACGCAGCGAAAUGCGAUACUUGGUGUGAAUUGCAGAAUCCCGUGAACCAUCGAGUCUUUGAACGCAAGUUGCGCCUCAAGCCAUUAGGUUGAGGGCACGUCUGCCUGGGCGUCACAUAUCGUUGCCUGAUGCCAGUUUCCUCGUGUUGGGUGACUGUGCAGGGCGAAUGAUGGCUUCCCGUGAGCAUUGUUGCCUCAUGGUUGGUUGAAAAUUGAGUCCUUGGUAGGGAGCGCCGUGAUAGAUGGUGGUUGAGUGACGAACGAGACCCAAUCAUGUGAGACCCCUACCGAAUUUGGCCUUCAUGACCCACAUGCGUCUUUGGAACGCUCAUGACGAGACCUCAGGUCAGGCGGGGCUACCCGCUGAGUUUAAGCAUAUCAAUAAGCGGAGGA
rnacentral:misc_RNA from 1 species